rnacentral:rRNA from 1 species
CCUACGGGGGACAGCAGUGAGGAAUAUUGGUCAAUGGACGAGAGUCUGAACCAGCCAAGUAGCGUGAAGGAUGAAUGCCCUAUGGGUUGUAAACUUCUUUUAUAUGGGAAUAAAUUGUUCUACGUGUGGGAUUUUGUAUGUACCAUAUGAAUAAGGCUCGGCUAACUCCGUGCCAGCAGCAGCGGUAAUCCGGAGGGUCCGAGCGUUAUCCGGAUUUAUUGGGUUUAAAGGGAGCGUAGGUGGAUUUUUAAGUCAGUUGUGAAAGUUUGCGGCUCAACCGUAAAAUUGCAGUUGAAACUGGCAGUCUGGAGUACAGUAGAGGUGGGCGGAAUUCGUGGUGUAGCGGUGAAAUGCUUAGAUAUCACGAAGAACUCCGAUUGCGAAGGCAGCUCACUGGACUGCAACUGACACUGAGGCUCGAAAGUGUGGGUAUCAAACAGGAUUAGAUACCCUAGUAGUC